rfam:Mogibacterium pumilum strain ATCC 700696 genome.
CAAGUCGCGAGGCUUGGGCGAGAAUAAGGGAUAGCGAAAUCGUAGCCUGACGAACAGAAACCUAAUAAAAAGGCUUGCAUAGCGGGUAAGCGGAUCAAAAGUCGUGAAGCCCAAAAGGCAAACGUAACCUAUGCAAAUAGAUUAGGCAGGUAGACGAGGAAAGACUGAAGACU